AACGAACGCUGGCGGCAUGCCUAACACAUGCAAGUCGAACGAGACCUUCGGGUCUAGUGGCGCACGGGUGCGUAACGCGUGGGAACCUGCCCUUAGGUUCGGAAUAACUCCCCGAAAGGGGUGCUAAUACCGGAUAAUGUCUUCGGACCAAAGAUUUAUCGCCUUUGGAUGGGCCCGCGUUGGAUUAGCUAGUUGGUAGGGUAAAAGCCUACCAAGGCGACGAUCCAUAGCUGGUCUGAGAGGAUGAGCAGCCACACUGGGACUGAGACACGGCCCAGACUCCUACGGGAGGCAGCAGUGGGGAAUAUUGGACUAUGGGCGGAAGCCUGAUCCAGCAAUGCCGCGUGAGUGAUGAAGGCCUUAGGGUUGUAAAGCUCUUUUACCCGGGAUGAUAAUGACAGUACCGGGAGAAUAAGCUCCGGCUAACUCCGUG
rnacentral:rRNA from 1 species